AAGGAUUUAAGUUAAAAAAACUCUUAGCCUUCAAAGCUAUCAAUAAAGUCUUCCUUUAAGCCUUA
rnacentral:tRNA from 1 species